rnacentral:rRNA from 1 species
GUUAUAUCAAAUAAGAGGUCUCGCCUGCCCAGUGACUAUAUGUUCAACGGCCGCGGUAUUUUGACCGUGCAAAGGUAGCGUAAUCAUUUGUCUUUUAAAUGAAGACCAGUAUGAAAGGCACCACGAGGGCUCGACUGUCUCCUCUUUCAAGUCAAUGAAAUUGAUCUCCCCGUGCAGAAGCGGGGAUACGACCAUAAGACGAGAAGACCCUAUGGAGCUUCAGACAAUGGGACAGACCAUGUCAAUUAACCCGUAUAAAGGACUAAACCUAGUGGGAACUGCCACAAUGUCUUAGGUUGGGGCGACCAUGGAGUAAUAAAAACCCUCCACGUGGAAUGGGAGCAUUACUAUCGUAUUUUUACCGUUACUUCACACCCUUCUCUCCCAAAACCAAGGGUUACAACCCUAACUAGCAGAAUUUCUGACCUAAAUUGAUCCGGCAACGCCGAUUAGCGGACCAAGUUACCCUAGGGAUAACAGCGCAAUCCCCUUUUAGAGCCCAUAUCGACAAGGGGGUUUACGACCUCGAUGUUGGAUCAGGACAUCCUAUUGGUGCAGCCGCUAUUAAGGGUUCGUUUGUUCAACGAUUAAAGUCCUACGUGAUCUG